UGUAGAGGUGAAAUCCGUAGAUAUCGGGAGGAAUACCAGAGGCGAAGGCGGGCUUCUGGACUGACACUGACGCUGAGGCACGAAAGCGUUGGGAGCAAACAGGAUUAGAUACCCUGGUAGUCCACGCCCUAAACGAUGGUUACUAGAUGAGGUGGGAUUUGAACCCUACCGUAUCGAAGCUAACGCGAUAAGUUACCCGCCUGGGGAGUACGGCCCGCAAAGCUAAAACUCAAAGGAAUUGACGGGGGCCCGGAACAAACGGUGAACAAUUUGUUUUAAUUCGAAACCAACGCGAAGACUUUACGUAGGCUGGACAUCCCCGGCUAACCAUAGAAAUAUGUGUUCCCUUUCGGGGACUGGGAAAACAGGUCUACAUGCCUGUCGUCAGUCUCGUGCCGUGAGGUGUUUUGAUUAAGUUCCAGCAACGAGCGCAAACCGUUGUUCUUGAGUUGCCACAUUCAGUUGGCACUCUAAGGAGACUGCCGGUGUUAACCCGGAGGAAGGUGGGGAUGACGUCAAGUCAGCAGGGCCCUUAUGUCUAGGGAUACACACGUGUAACAAUGGUUGCUACAAAGAGUGACAAGACCGCGAGGUGGAGCUAAUCUCAAAAAGCCAAUCCCAGUUCGGAUUGAAGUCUGCAAUUCGACUUCAGGAAGCUGGAAUCGCUAGUAAUCGUGGAUCAGCACGCCACGGUGAAUACGUUCCCGGGCUUUGUACACACCGCCCGUCACACCACGAAAGCUGUUUACACCUUAAGACGUCGCACUAACCGUAAGGG
rnacentral:rRNA from 1 species